rnacentral:rRNA from 1 species
UACGUAGGCAGCAAGCGUUGUUCGGAGUUACUGGGCGUAAAGGGUGCGUAGGCGGCCCUGUAAGUAUGGUGUGAAAUCUCCCGGCUUAACUGGGAGGGUGCGCUAUAGACUGCGGGGCUCGAGUGUGGGAGAGGAAAGUGGAAUUCCUGGUGUAGCGGUGAAAUGCGUAGAUAUCAGGAGGAACACCGGUGGUGUAGACGGCUCUCUGGACCGUAACUGACGCUGAGGCACGAAAGCGUGGGUAGCAAACAGG